AUUGAACGCUGGCGGCAGGCCUAACACAUGCAAGUAGAACGAGUGGCGGACGGGUGAGUAAUGUCUGGGAAACUGCCUGAUGGAAGGGGAUAACUACUGGAAACGGUAGCUAAUACCGCAUACCAUCAGAUGUGCCCAGAUGGGAUUAGCUUGUUGGUGGGGUAACGGCUCACCAAGGCGACGAUCCCUAGCUGGUCUGAGAGGAUGACCAGCCACCCUGGAACUGACACCCGGUCCAGACUCCUGCGGGAGGGAGCAGUGGGGAAUAUUGCACAGUGGGCGCUAGCCUGAUGCAGCCAUGCCGGGUGUAUGAAGAAGGCCUUGGGGUUGUAAAGUACUUUCAGCGGGGAGACGUUACCCGCAGAAGAAGCACCGGCUAACGCCGUGCCAGCAGCCGCGGUAAUAC
rnacentral:rRNA from 1 species